UAAGACGUAGGAGGCGAGCGUUGUCCGGAUUUAUUGGGCGUAAAGCGCGCGCAGGCGGUCGCGCAGGUCAUCUGUGAAAGCACCCGGCUCAACCGGGGUGUGGCGGGUGAAACCGCGCGACUUGAGGGCGGUAGAGGGUGGUGGAAUUCCCGGUGUAGUGGUGAAAUGCGUAGAGAUCGGGAGGAACACCCGUAGCGAAGGCGGCCACCUGGGCCGACCCUGACGCUGAGGCGCGAAGGCCAGGGGAGCGAACGGGAUUAGAUACCCCGGUAGUCCUGGCAGUAAACGAUGUCGACUGGUCGUCGGGGGGCUCGACCCCGCCGGCGGCGGAGCUAACGCGGGAAGUCGACCGCCUGGGGAGUACGGCCGCAAGGCUA
rnacentral:rRNA from 1 species